UACGUAGGGGCCUAGCGUUGUCCGGAUUUAUUGGGCGUAAAGAGCUCGUAGGCGGUUCGGCAAGUCGGAUGUGAAAUCUCCACGCUUAACGUGGAGGGGCCAUUCGAAACUGCCGUGACUCGAGUCCGGUAGGGGAGUGUGGAAUUCCCGGUGUAGCGGUGAAAUGCGUAGAGAUCGGGAGGAACACCAGAGGCGAAGGCGGCGACCUGGACAGAUACUGACACUCAACUACGAAAGCGUGGGUAGCAAACAGG
rnacentral:rRNA from 1 species